CCCUGGUUAGCUCAGUCGGUAGAGCGCUCCACCUGUAAUGGAGAGGUCCCGGGUUCAAUACCCGGACCAGGCA
rfam:Ixodes scapularis strain Wikel colony gcontig_1108378511568, whole genome shotgun sequence.